AGAAUCACGCUGGCGGCGUGCCUAACACAUGCAAGUCGAACGCGAAAGGGGAGCAAUCCCCGAGUAGAGUGGCGUCCGGGUGAGUAACACGUGGAUAAUCUACCUAGAGGUGGGGAAUAACUCUUCGAAAGGGGAGCUAAUACCGCAUAACACAAAUUGGGGGCAUCCCCGAAUUGUCAAAGUGGGGGACCGAAAGGCCUCACGCCGCUAGAGGAGUCCGCGGCCGAUUAGCUAGUUGGUGAGGUAACGGCUCACCAAGGCGUCGAUCGGUAGCCGGCCUGAGAGGGUGACCGGCCACACUGGCACUGAAACACGGGCCAGACUCCUACGGGAGGCAGCAGUGGGGAAUUUUGGGCAAUGGCCGAAAGGCUGACCCAGCAACGCCGCGUGAGGGAUGAAAUCCUUCGGGAUGUAAACCUCGUAAGUCAGGGAAGAAUAAACAUACUCUAACACAGUAUGAUAUGACGGUACCUGACGUAAGCCCCGGCUAACUCCGUGCCAGCAGCCGCGGUAAUACGGGGGGGGCAAGCGUUGUUCGGAAUUACUGGGCGUAAAGGGCGCGUAGGCGGCCCAGCUAAGUCGAGUGUUAAAUCCCAGAGCUUAACUCUGGACAGUCGCUCGAUACUAGCGGGCUAGAGUGUGGAAGAGGGUGCUGGAAUUCCCGGUGUAGCGGUGGAAUGCGUAGAUAUCGGGAAGAACACCGGUGGCGAAGGCGGCUCGCUGGGCCGAUGCUGACGCUGAGGCGCGAAAGCGUGGGGAGCAAACAGGAUUAGAUACCCUGGUAGUCCACGCCGUAAACGAUGGGUACUAGGCGUCGGGGGGAGCGACCCCCUCGGUGCCGUCGCUAACGCAGUAAGUACCCCGCCUGGGGAGUACGGCCGCAAGGCUGAAACUCAAAGGAAUUGACGGGGGCCCGCACAAGCGGUGGAUGAUGUGGUUUAAUUCGACGCAGCGCGAAAAACCUUACCUACCCUUGACAUGUGCGGAAUCCUGCAGAGAUGCAGGAGUGCCCGAAAGGGAACCGCAACACAGGUGCUGCAUGGCUGUCGUCAGCUCGUGUCGUGAGAUGUUGGGUUAAGUCCCGCAACGAGCGCAACCCUUGCCAUUAGUUGCUACAUUCAGUUGAGCACUCUAAUGGGACUGCCGGUGACAAACCGGAGGAAGGUGGGGAUGACGUCAAGUCCUCAUGGCCCUUAUGGGUAGGGCUACACACGUCAUACAAUGGCGCGUACAGAGGGUUGCCAACCCGCGAGGGGGAGCCAAUCCCAGAAAGCGCGUCGUAGUCCGGAUUGAAGUCUGCAACUCGACUUCAUGAAGUCGGAAUCGCUAGUAAUCGCAGAUCAGCAUGCUGCGGUGAUACGAUCCCGGCGUUGCACACAC
rnacentral:rRNA from 1 species